rnacentral:tRNA from 1 species
GCGGCUGUGGCGGAACUGGUAGACGCGCGGCGUUCAGGUCGCCGUGAGGGAAACCUCGUGGAGGUUCGAGUCCUCUCAGCCGCA